rnacentral:misc_RNA from 1 species
UCACCCCUCAAGCCCUCGGCUUGGUCUUGGACGGUUUGGUUUUGGUGACAAGACCCCUCCUAAAAUCAAUGACGGCGGCCUGUUCGACCCCCGGUACACUGAGCUUCUUAACUGAGCACGUGUCGGUUUCAGGGUAGACAGGACCCGGUCUUUAACCGGAAACUCUUUCCAAGG